UUUUUUAGGGUAUAGUUUCUGCAGAGCAGCAGUAGACAGAUGUUUUAUUUAGAUUAGUUCCUAUAUUACCAUCAAGUUGAGGAACUAGUCUCACAAAAAAUGGGGAUAGGGAUGCUGGACCACGCUGGACAGUUCGCCUGACCAUCGCAGGGCGAGUAGAAGAAUAUAAACUAGGUACAUUUAGCUGAAGACCAAGCAAUGGUUGCUUUGCAUUCAGCUGGUAUGUGCUACAACACCCAGAUGAGCUCUUGAGACCCUACACAGAUGCUUGUCUCCACUUAUUUCUUGGAAUGCUUCUCUAAUUGGGCUACUCUCCAGCUCUUUACUCUGAUUGAAGAGGGAAUGAGUCACCACUACACCACACUUUCCUCAUCAGCUUUCUCUACAAAGAUACGCUCAACUUAGAAGCCACUUUUUCAAUGUUAUUUCCUAUAGAAGCUCUAAAGUGACAUAUAAAGCUAACGCAACAAAAGUAUUGCUUUAAAAACGAAAUGUGGAUUGAUUUAUCGCGAAACUAACUUUAAAUGAAGUGGUACGUUUCUCUCGACUGAUCUGAAGUACAACCUGCAUCCACAGGAACCUUGGGAGCCCCAACUCUUCCCCUUAAGUGGAGCAGAGUACGUUGACCUUCUUGCUGAAGAAGAGACCGCACCAGGAUGGAUAGAUUCAAUCUCAUCCUCUCAUUUAUCCAAUGCUGCCGCCCCCAUCUCGCCAUAUCUCAAGUCUUGCAGUCAGAAAGCAUGAGCCAAAAAUGUGAAAAAACUGGAAAACUGAAGACAUUUCAUGGAAUGAACAUGAACACUGUGAUACUGAGAUUAUUACUUGGAUGUUGUUUUAACUGAUCUAUUUGUCUUUACCUACACUUUUAUGAUUAAAAAAAAAAGAUUUAUUGUAAUUCAAAUAUCAGAUGCUUGCUAUUGUAAGGCAACUCCUGUGCCGUGUCAGGUUUACAUGCUUUAAACUUGUUAACUGCCAUUUCUUUCUUUGGUUGCCUUAAAAAAUGUGUUUACCUAUCAAUACAUUUUCAAAGAUGCAUUUGUUUUCCUAUUUAGGUGCCAUUGUUGUCUAUUUUGCUUGAUAAAAACAUGGAAGGUAGAAGUGGACAUUAAUGUAGGUUGAUGUUUUUGUGCUCUAAUAAAACAGGACAUUCUGAUGUUUUUAAACCAAGAUAUGAGAGUUCUCUUAUUAAUCCUCAUUUUCAAUUAAAAUGAUGCGAUUAAAGCUGCAGGUACAGUAAACUCUAAUCAAUUUUUUUUAAACACAGAAUUUUGCAGUUUACUUGUCAGCUUUUGUCCAAGUAAUUUUGCAUUGCAAGGAACUUUCCCCUUAAGUAAAAUAAAAAAUAAACCUGUUAGAAUGGCAGCAUUUACAGUCAGGACCAUAAAUAUUUGGAUAGAGACACAUUCUUUCUAAUUUAGUUUCUGUACAUUACCACAGUGAAUUUUACAUAAAACAACUCUGAUGCCGUUGACGUGCAGACAUUCAGCUUUUAUUUCAUGGGUUGAACAAAAAGAUUGCAUAAAAAUUUGAAAAACUAAAGCAUUUUUUUAAACACAAUCCCUUCAUUUCAUCGGCUCCUAAG
ensembl:lncRNA